AAGUCGGUUUAUACAUUUUGUGUCUUGCUUUGUUUUCUCUGUAUGGAUAGGCAGCUAGAGGAGGUUCCUGGCUCCCCCUGGCUAGCUGUGUGACCGUGAGUGAGUCACCAAGCCUCUGAUGGUCGGUGCAGCUUGGCGAGUUGACCCAACUUGGGGUCAUCACCAUUACAAAGACACUCUUCACUUUGGGGACUGCCCCACCACAGCAUCCCUCGAGAGACAGCCCAGCCCAUCACUGCAAAGCACUGACUGAGAAGAUGUUCCAUAAAUAAUCCAAAGCCUGUUUUCUGGCACUUCCACGUUUUGGACCUAGUUCUGCCCCCUUGAAGCCAUUCAGUCAUAUCCGUGGUCAAAACUAUGUUCUUAAUUCAGCACAUUCAUUAGCACUCAUUGGGCAGUUAUUCUGUCCCAGGAACUGCUGAAUUACAACACAAGUCCCGGGUUCUUUCACAAUGAACCCUUCCAGUUGCAUGGCUGUCACCACUUGCUCGAGCUCUUCCUGCUUUGCACAGCUCCUGAAAGUGUGCGCUGAGGUAUUCGGCAGCCUUGACCCCCCGUGCUGCCCUUCUGGUCAGGGACUGCUGUUUUCUGAUGUCCCCCUCACAUGUGCAUGGUGACCUGCCUUCUCCUGGAUGCUGGGCUGAGGUUUGGGUCCAUGCAUUGGCAGUGGGUUAACAUCCCUACCUCUUUGCGUGGGGACAUGUGCAAAGCCACCUCUCAUUUCUUUAGGUACAGACUUUUGGUUUAAUCUCCUAGAUUUGGCCCAUAUGUUCUCUAACAUAAAAUAUGAAGCCUGACAUCAUCUGCAAUUUAGGGAGGUGUCCCUCCCUUUUACAUCUUCACCAGAAGACCGUUUGGCUCAGCAUAAACCAAGAGCAGAGACCUAUGGCACUCUACUAGGGACUGUCUCCCAGGUGGCCUGCAUCUAUCAUUCUGGGGCACUCACUGAAUACAAGCAGCUCCCCUUGCUGCAGGUUUCACUGAUGCAGAUGAAUGCGUGAUGAAAUACAUCAUGUAAUCAAA